rnacentral:rRNA from 1 species
AGAGUUUGAUCAUGGCUCAGGAUGAACGCUGGCGGCGUGCUUUACGCAUGCAAGUCGAGCGAAGCACUUUACUUGGAUUUCUUCGGAAUGACGAGUAUUGUGACUGAGCGGCGGACGGGUGAGUAACGCGUGGGUAACCUGCCUCAUACAGGGGGAUAACAGUUAGAAAUGACUGCUAAUACCGCAUAAGACCACAGCACCGCAUGGUGCAGGGGUAAAAACUCCGGUGGUAUGAGAUGGACCCGCGUCUGAUUAGCUGGUUGGUGGGGUAACGGCCUACCAAGGCGACGAUCAGUAGCCGGCCUGAGAGGGCGACCGGCCACAUUGGGACUGAGACACGGCCCAAACUCCUACGGGAGGCAGCAGUGGGGAAUAUUGCACAAUGGGGGAAACCCUGAUGCAGCGACGCCGCGUGAAGGAAGAAGUAUUUCGGUAUGUAAACUUCUAUCAGCAGGGAAGAAAAUGACGGUACCUGACUAAGAAGCCCCGGCUAACUACGUGCCAGCAGCCGCGGUAAUACGUAGGGGGCAAGCGUUAUCCGGAUUUACUGGGUGUAAAGGGAGCGUAGACGGAGAGGCAAGUCUGAUGUGAAAACCCGGGGCUCAACCCCGGGACUGCAUUGGAAACUGUUUUUCUAGAGUGUCGGAGAGGUAAGCGGAAUUCCUAGUGUAGCGGUGAAAUGCGUAGAUAUUAGGAGGAACACCAGUGGCGAAGGCGGCUUACUGGACGAUGACUGUCGUUGAGGCUCGAAAGCGUGGGGAGCAAACAGGAUUAGAUACCCUGGUAGUCCACGCCGUAAACGAUGACUACUAGGUGUCGGGUGGCAAAGCCAUUCGGUGCCGCAGCCAACGCCAUAAGUAGUCCACCUGGGGA